rnacentral:rRNA from 1 species
UACGUAGGUGACCAGCGUUGUCCGGAUUUACUGGGCGUAAAGAGCGCGCAGGCGGUCGUUCAAGUCGAGUGUGAAAGCCCCCGGCUCAACUGGGGAGGGUCACUCGAUACUGAUCGACUUGAAGGCAGGAGAGGGAAGCGGAAUUCCCGGUGUAGUGGUGAAAUGCGUAGAUAUCGGGAGGAACACCAGUGGCGAAGGCGGCUUCCUGGCCUGUUCUUGACGCUGAGGCGCGAAAGCUGAAGGGGAGCGAAACGGGAG